rnacentral:rRNA from 1 species
UUCCAGACUCCUACGGGAGGCAGCAGUGAGGAAUAUUGGUCAAUGGCCGGAAGGCUGAACCAGCCAAGCCGCGUGAAGGACGAAGGUGCCAAGCAUUGUAAACUUCUUUUGUCAAGGGACAAAAUCAGGCUCGAGAGCCUGACCGAGGGUACUUGAAGAAAAAGCAUCGGCUAACUCCGUGCCAGCAGCCGCGGUAAUACGGAGGAUGCGAGCGUUAUCCGGAUUUAUUGGGUUUAAAGGGUGCGUAGGCGGAAUAUCAAGUCAGCGGUAAAAAUUCGGGGCUCAACCCCGUCGUGCCGUUGAAACUGAUGUUCUUGAGUGGGCGAGAAGUAUGCGGAAUGCGUGGUGUAGCGGUGAAAUGCAUAGAUAUCACGCAGAACUCCGAUUGCGAAGGCAGCAUACCGGCGCCCAACUGACGCUGAAGCACGAAAGCGUGGGUAUCGAACAGGAUUAGAUACCCUCGUAAC